CCUCUCCUAUCCACUCACUGACCACCUCUCGCCCUCUCCCCUCCCCGGCUCCCCCCCGCCACAUCGCCACGCGCAUCGACGAUCCCGCAACCGCGCGACUCCGCCCGCCGACCACCGAAUCGGUCUCAUGAAUUGGCGGGGCUUGGGGCUACGACAAGCUGUGUGCGGCGCGACUGACGGAGGCGGACGCUGCAAGCUUCCUGACCUGGGCCUGCGUGCUCGAUCCGGUCCCGUUCCGGUCGGAUCCGUGGCGGUGCUCCUCUCCGGCGAGGUCGCAGGUCGAUCCGACGCGGGGCGGCUCGAUCUGCAAGUGGAGCAACUCCGGCACGGCCAGGGCGACGACUGCUCCCCGACGCCGGCACCCUCCGCAAGGAGCGACGACAGCUCGAAGCUCUGCGGCACGGCGUGCGCCGAGCGACGUGCAGCGAGGGCGCCGCUGCCUCAGCCACCGGCGUGUCCGACCACUCGUCCACGUCCCCACUGCUGCCGUCGGCCGGCCACUCGACGUCGCUUGUCCCGCUGCUUUAGCAGGCCAAGAAACCGGAACGCCCCCCGCGCCUGGCGACCUCGGCAUCUCCAUCGACCGUCUCAGAAAGCGCUACCUCGCCCGGCUCCCGCAUAGCUGAUGCAAGCCAAGAAACAGGGAGUGCCGGCAGUAGUACUCUGAAUCCAUCAAUGCAGCUGAAUCCAUAAUGCUAAUCAAGAGGUGGUUUUGGCCUAACUGGGAUGUGCUUGAGUCCCGCAUAGCUGUGGAGGAGGAAGCUGCUGCCCUUCUUGAGUAGUUUGCAAAGAUCUUCAGUGAGCAAAGAGGGCAGUGGAAGGCAGCAACCCAAUCCCAGGAGUUCCUUUGAACCCUUCAGCGUUAAUACAAUAAUGCUUACACAGAUCCUGAGAAGCAGGAUGCUAUAAAUGUAUUCUUGGGCCAUUUCCAGUCUGAACAAGGCAAACCUCCUAUUGUGGAAGUUGGACUGAGAUCAGCAUUACGAUGUUGGCCGCCAAGGAACUCUAUGUGAAGAAACUGGAAGGUCCAUAUAAUUAUGAUGUCUUGGAGGGUAUGACGUUCGGCAAUAUUUCUGAAUCCUUCAAUGCUGACUUUGAGGAUGGUACAAUCGGGGAGGUAAUUAUUUUUCCUUUUGUCAUGUGAAGCCCAACACUAUGCUAUUAACCAGGUAUGGAUCUUUGAGAGUAUCCUUCUGGGUGAAUAU